UGGUGGAGUGAUUUGUCUGGUUAAUUCCGUUAACGAACGAGACCUCGACCUGCUAAAUAGUUGGCAUUAUCUUUUGAUAGUGUGAUAACUUCUUAGAGGGACUAUCGGUGUGUAGCCGAUGGAAGUUCGAGGCGAUAACA
rnacentral:rRNA from 1 species